rnacentral:rRNA from 1 species
GAUGAACGCUGGCGGCGUGCCUAAUACAUGCAAGUCGAGCGAACAGACGAGGAGCUUGCUCCUCUGACGUUAGCGGCGGACGGGUGAGUAACACGUGGAUAACCUACCUAUAAGACUGGGAUAACUUCGGGAAACCGGAGCUAAUACCGGAUAAUAUAUUGAACCGCAUGGUUCAAUAGUGAAAGACGGUUUUGCUGUCACUUAUAGAUGGAUCCGCGCCGCAUUAGCUAGUUGGUAAGGUAACGGCUUACCAAGGCAACGAUGCGUAGCCGACGUGAGAGGGUGGUCGGCCACACUGGAACUGAGACACGGUCCAGAGUCCUACGGGAGGCAGCAGUAGGGAAUCGGCCGCAAUGGGCGAAAGCCUGACGGAGUAACGCCGCGUGAGAGAUGAAGGUCUUCGGAUCGUAAAACUCUGUUAUUAGGGAAGAACCAAUGUGUAAGUAACUAUGCACGUCUUGACGGUACCUAAUCAGAAAGCCACGGCUAACUACGUG